rnacentral:misc_RNA from 1 species
GAUGAAGAACGUAGCGAAAUGCGAUACUUGGUGUGAAUUGCAGAAUCCCGUGAACCAUCGAGUCUUUGAACGCAAGUUGCGCCCGAAGCCAUUAGGCCGAGGGCACGCCUGCCUGGGCGUCACACGUUGUUGCCCCCCCAUCUACUCCUUCGGGAUUGCGGGGGGCGGAUGAUGGCCUCCCGUGCGCCUCGCCGCGCGGUUGGCAUAAAUGCCAAGUCCUCGGCGACGCACGCCACGACAAUCGGUGGUUGCGAAACCUCGGUUGCCCGUCGUGUGCGGUCGUCGCGCAUCGAGGGCUCGAAAAAAUUGCCGGGUUCCGGCUCGGCUUUCAACGCGACCCCAGGUCAGGCGGGGUUACCCGCUGAAUUUAAGCAUAUCAAAAGCGGAGGA